GAUCCUGGCUCAGAUUGAACGCUGGCGGCAGGCUUAACACAUGCAAGUCGAACGAUGACUCUCUAGCUUGCUAGAGAUGAUUAGUGGCGGACGGGUGAGUAACAUUUAGGAAUCUACCUAGUAGUGGGGGAUAGCUCGGGGAAACUCGAAUUAAUACCGCAUACGACCUACGGGUGAAAGGGGGCGCAAGCUCUUGCUAUUAGAUGAGCCUAAAUCAGAUUAGCUAGUUGGUGGGGUAAAGG
rnacentral:rRNA from 1 species